rnacentral:rRNA from 1 species
CUAUUAUGGAGAGUUUGAUCCUGGCUCAGGACGAACGCUGGCGGCAUGCCUAAUACAUGCAAGUCGAGCGAAUGACGAAGAAGCUUGCUUCUUCU